GCCUGGGUGGCUCAGUCGGUUAAGCGUCUGACUUCGGCUCGGGUCAUGAUCUCACCGUUUGUGGGUUCGAGCCCCGCGUCGGGCU
rnacentral:tRNA from 1 species